CGGCCUGCGCUGCUACACAUGCAGUCGAACGAUGAACGCGGCUUCGGCCGGGGAUUAGUGGCGAACGGGUGAGUAACACGUGGGCAAUCUGCCCUGCACUCUGGGACAAGCCCUGGAAACGGGGUCUAAUACCGGAUAUUACCUGGUGAGGCAUCUUACCGGGUGGAAAGCUCCGGCGGUGCAGGAUGAGCCCGCGGCCUAUCAGCUUGUUGGUGGGGUGAUGGCCUACCAAGGCGACGACGGGUAGCCGGCCUGAGAGGGCGACCGGCCACACUGGGACUGAGACACGGCCCAGACUCCUACGGGAGGCAGCAGUGGGGAAUAUUGCACAAUGGGCGCAAGCCUGAUGCAGCGACGCCGCGUGAGGGAUGACGGCCUUCGGGUUGUAAACCUCUUUCAGCAGGGAAGAAGCGCAAGUGACGGUACCUGCAGAAGAAGCGCCGGCUAACUACGUGCCAGCAGCCGCGGUAAUACGUAGGGCGCGAGCGUUGUCCGGAAUUAUUGGGCGUAAAGAGCUCGUAGGCGGCUUGUCGCGUCGGAUGUGAAAGCCCGGGGCUUAACCCCGGGUCUGCAUUCGAUACGGGCAGGCUAGAGUUCGGUAGGGGAGAUCGGAAUUCCUGGUGUAGCGGUGAAAUGCGCAGAUAUCAGGAGGAACACCGGUGGCGAAGGCGGAUCUCUGGGCCGAUACUGACGCUGAGGAGCGAAAGCGUGGGGAGCGAACAGGAUUAGAUACCCUGGUAGUCCACGCCGUAAACGUUGGGAACUAGGUGUGGGCGACAUUCCACGUUGUCCGUGCCGCAGCUAACGCAUUAAGUUCCCCGCCUGGGGGAGUACGGCCGCAAGGCUAAAACUCAAAGGAAUUGACGGGGGCCCGCACAAGCGGCGGAGCAUGUGGCUUAAUUCGACGCAACGCGAAGAACCUUACCAAGGCUUGACAUACACCGGAAACAUCCGGAAGAUGGGUGCCCCCUUGUUGGUCGGUGGUACAGGUGGGUGCAUGGCUGUCGUCAGCUCGUGUCGUGAAAUGUUUGGGGUUAAGUCCCGCAACGAGCGCAACCCUUGUCCUGUGUUGCCGGAUGCCCUUUCGGGGGUGAUGGGGACUCACAGGAAACUGCCGGGGUCACUUCCGAAGAAAGGUGGGGGGACAAACUCCAGUCUUCAUGGCCCCUUAAGUCUUGGGGCUCCCACCGUCCUACAAUGGGCCGGUACAAUGAACUGCGAAACCCCCCGGGUGGAGCAAAUCUCAAAAACCGGCUCCAUUUUCUUAAUGUGGGGCUGCCACCCUCCCCCUCCAAAAUGGGAAGCUCUUUAAUUCCAAACAAAAAUUGUUGCGGGGAAAAAAUUUCCCGGGCCUGUUAAAUCCCCCCUCUUCUUUUCUCAAAAAUGGUUAACCCCCGAACCUGGCCCAACCCUCGGAAGGGACCUCAAAUAAGGUAGAGAUACUUGCAAUCCGUCGUAUCAGAAUCAAACAAAACAUUCCAAACUGACUGGAAUGAAUGG
rnacentral:rRNA from 1 species